rnacentral:misc_RNA from 1 species
AACUUUUGGCAACGGAUCACUUGGUUCUGGCAUCGAUGUAGAACGCAGCGAAAUGCGAUAAGUAAUGCGAAUUGCAGAAUCCGUGAGUCAUCGAAUCUUUGAACGCAUAUUGCGCCCUUUGGCAUUCCGAAGGGCAUGCCUGUUCGAGCGUCAUUAUCACCCCUCAAGCCCCGGCUUGGUGUUGGGCUCCCGGUGGUCGUACCCGACCACCCGCCUCAAAGAUAGUGACGGCGUCCCAGAGGGAACCGGUACGAGGAGCAUUCACGAGCAUGUACGCGGGACGACUCUGCGGGCGACGGUCUUUUUUAACUUAAUAAAGUGUUGACCUCGGAUCAGGUAGGAAUACCCGCUGAACUUAAGCAUAUCAAUAAGCGGAGGCU